CCUUCUCCUCGGCUGGUUCUCGGCGCCGACCCCUGCUUCCACGGUUCCUCCCGCCACCGCCGCCCUCUGCUUCCAGCCGCCUGCACCGCUGCCCCUCCGCCUUCUUUCGCUGGCGGACCAACCCCGCCGCCGUGCCACACGGUCAAGGUCACGUGGGAGAUGCCGUCCCUAGCCCAGCUGAUGUGGCCCGGCACGCUGACCACCGCGGUGUCCCUGCACCCUGACCACCGCUGAUGUCCAACGCCACGGUGCCUCCCAUGGCGGCCGUUCACUGCCGCCACCCCGGGCCGUUCAACAACACAACGCCGAGCCGUUCAACGCCGCAGCUCUACCACCAUUCGCAACUCCAACUUCCAUUAUGUGGUUCUGGAGGUUCAGUUUUUUCAGUGCUGGUGUUUAGUUGGUGGUUGUCUGGUACCUACACCGGCAUUUUCCAUCAAGACCUCCAGAAAAUUGAUAUCAUCUCAAGGUGAAAAAUACGAAAUCCUUUUACUCCGGGCUCCAACGCACCACCGCUCCUCUGAUUCUGCUCCGGGCUCUGCCUGCGAUUCUUCCGCCGACGCCGAUGUUAUUAUAUGCAGGGCCAUGUUCGUGAAUUACAAGCAAUAGCAGCACUUGUAGAGUAGCUAAAAACGGAGGAACCCAAUGCAUAUGUCGUCUUCUUCGUUCUGUGAAUGGCUGGAGGGGCAGCUUCAGUUUCCAUGUGUUGUACAAAAGAUCCAGGACUGCGGGAGAAGAUUUGUUGUUGAAGAAGUGGAAUUUGUUGGGUGCAUGUGCAGAAAAAUUGUCAGUUCAAUUUUCAAAAUCCUGUAAGUUUGUUUUGAUUCUGUAAAUUUCUGUAAGUUUCUAGUGUGUGCUGCUUCAGAUCUGAACUAUUUGUCCAGUCCUCCUAGUACUGAUUCAAUCGCCUAAAAUAUGUUCAAGAAAAAUCAGUAAGUUUGGUGCGUGUGCUGCUACAAAUCUAAACUUCUACUCCAGUCAAUCAAGUACUGAUGUCUCUUUAAGUCUGUAGCGGAGAGAAUAUUUGUGUGCUCAUUCGUUCAUAGUAUGAAGCUCAUUUAUAGUUUCUUUUCUCAUUCUUUUAAUUAAGAAAACGUUUAUUGACCUUGAAGCAUAAACCUCUCGGCAAUGUAGCAUUCUGCUGAUAUUUUAAUAGUCGGUAAGAUGUUGUAGCGGGACAAGGUCAUCAUCUCGAGGAGGUCAGUGAUACCAUGCACGCUGAAAGUGUGCGAUGGAUAUUCUCUUCACAUUUUUUGUGUUUUGGAGUAAAUCGACAUAGAUUGUUGACACAUCAGCAUCUAAUUUUUUGCACUGGAUUUGGAGAUUUUGAUCAGUACUUGGUUGUGUGAUAUUUUUGAAACCAGGACGACCUCGACCUCCGUCUGCUUCUCAUUUCCAGCCGCAUCCAGGACGACCUCGACCUACUGCCACUAGCUGUUGGUGCACCUCAUGCUAGCUGCUAGCUAUUACCUAGUGUGCUUGAUUCUACCGCUACAAAGAAGCAGUUCGACAGGGGCGCGGGGUUCAGUUCAACGACGAUGAGCCAGGCAGCCAGCCUUCGCAUCACGAACUGGUGCAGUUUGAUCUUGGGCGAAUUGGAAAUUUCUUGAUGUUGAGUGUGUCAGUACAACCCUACACUACAAGGCACGCGUACAUCAAAUUCACGUGUUAGUCAACCGUAUCGUGCAUUUGCUUGGCAGCUUUGCACUCUAGUUACAUAUUAAUUGCUAAAUAAAUAAAAAAUGUUAUUCACUUUUCUGUGUUUUGUUGAAUAAUUCUCAUGCUUUCUUUUGUGAGGACUACAAAUCAUAGUGCUUAAAAUACAGAUGUGUGCGUCAUACUUGAACUAAAAAAGUUACAGGAGAAAGUACCCCUAUUCCAUUACUUUGAGAAGUACAGGUACACCUUUCUAAAUAGUACAGUGCAUGACCGGUGCUCGCCCCGCAUAAAUGGAGUCUUCAGCUCACCACGCUACCUCCCGCCGGUGGGGCUCCGUUGCUGCAUCGCCCCGACCGUUCACUGCCACCAACCCAGGCCGUUCAACGAGGCAGCGCCAAGCCGUUCGAUGUCGCAACUCAGGAGGCUGCCUCCUUUCCCUCCCUCCACUGCACUGAACCUAAAGAAGAAAGCAAACAUCAGUCCAGCUGGUAGACGUGGAGGUGAUUUUUGUAUCUAGGCCGCGAUCGGCUCCUCUCCGCUCCCUCCACUCCGCUCUGGAGCGGACGAGCCUCUAGCUCAUUUUUAUGGAGCGGCCUAAACUAUGCUCCACAACUCCGCGGAGUCGGAGCGGAUGGGAUGGAUUCCGAACACGGCCCUAAAAUCAUAUGUGCUUUUCUCUCCAAUUGAUUGUUUGUGUUGAAGGAAGCGAGGAGAAGCUACAGCAUAAAAUUGUGUAUGAUCGUGGAGCUGUGUAUGUGUAUGUAAUGUCUGCAAUACGUGUAUGAACAGGAAGGAAAAUGAUGUAUGUUGAUUGAUGAAAGUUCAAUGUAAAAUAAUAUUUCACAUGGAUGGAUUUUUUUA